rnacentral:tRNA from 1 species
ACCUCAUUGGCUCAGGGGCAGAGCGUCUGUCUAGCAAACAGAGAGAAGGUCGCUGGUUCGAUUCCAGCUUGAGGCG